CCUGGCUCCUGCACUCUGCGUCUCUACACACCUGCACCUCGUUCCUAAUCAACCCCCUGUUAUCAAGCCCGUUCCAACACGCCAGUAUUCGCUAGAUCGUCUUCGUAUCUCCAGUGAUUUCCUGGACCUGCCUGCCAGUUUACCAGCCUGCCCACCUGCUUCCCACUCGCCGCUUCAGCCUGCACACCGCCCUGCUUCUCUGUCUGGAUCUGGUUCAUCUCCCUCGCCUCUUGUGUACUGACUAAUUCCCUUUGAACUGGGAACAUCUAUCCCGCUCUGUCGUGCUUUUGGGGUCCAGUUUAAUGUACACAUAACACAAUUAUUAGUGCAAGCUUUUAAUAAAUGCUUUCAAAAAGUG